CGCACCUUGCGCUCCUUGGUAUUCCGAGGAGCAUGCCUGUUUGAGUGUCAUUAAAUUCUCAACUAUACAAGUUUUUUUAACAUGUAUAGCUUGGAUCAUGGGAUUUGCAGGCUUUUACUAGUCAGCUAUCCUUAAAAGUAUUAGCAGAGCUUUGCCGCUAAUCAUUGGUGUGAUAAUUAUCUACGCCAUUGACGAGUGACAUACUGAAGCUUAGCUUCUAAUCGUCUUCACAGACAAUUUUUGACAAUCUGACCUCAAAUCAGGUAGGAUUACCCGCUGAACUUAA
rnacentral:misc_RNA from 1 species